UACAGAGGGUGCAAACGUUGUUCGGAAUUACUGGGCGUAAAGCGUGUGUAGGCGGCCUCGUAGGUCGGAUGUGAAAGCUCUCGGCUCAACCGGGAAAGUGCAUUCGAAACCACAAGGCUUGAGUGUCGGAGAGGAAGGCGGAAUUGUCGGUGUAGAGGUGAAAUUCGUAGAUAUCGACAGGAACACCUGCGGCGAAAGCGGCCUCUGGACGAACACUGAACGC
rnacentral:rRNA from 1 species